GGGGAUUUAGCUCAGUGGCAUAAGUGCCUGCCUUGCAAGCAGGCAGCCGUGAGUUCAGUCCCUG
rfam:Cavia porcellus supercont2_9 genomic scaffold, whole genome shotgun sequence.